rnacentral:lncRNA from 1 species
AGGCCGGGGGUAGCGACACGCCAGGGCCGCGCGGCGGCGGCCGGCGAUGCGAAAGCGAAAGCGGGCGCCGGGCUGGGCCGGCCCCGCCGCCCGUGACCUUCCCGCGGCCUGGCAGGUGCCGGAGCGGGAGCCGGGGCCGGUAGGCGGCGGGCGGACACUAGCUCCUGCUCCCCACCCCCCUCCGCGCCCGCUCUCUCACACGGACGCGCGAGCCGGCGGGUCCCGGCGGCCGGACGGGAGGAAGGCGGCGGUCGGCGGCAGCUUGGCCCCUCGGCGCCUCGCUCAGCGGCGGCCGCGUCCCUCGCUUCCGUCCUCCGCCCGGCUUCCGCGGCCCAGCACGAAGGUUCCGCCCGCGAGGGGGAGUGGGUUGGGGCGCCGUUAACGGCCCCUCAGCGGCGCGGCCCGCGGCUCCUACACCGUGCGCGGAGCCGGCUGCCGGCCUAGGAGCUGCGGGCGAGCGGCCCAUGCGGCGGCCUGGGGGAAGGCAGGCGCGGGCGACGGCGUUUGCCUCGGGCCCAGGGGAGGGACGGAGAUCGGUGGCCGGCGAGGCGCGGGGAAGCGGCCGGUGGCUGGCGGAGGAGGGAGCACCGGGAAGCGGUCUGGCGCUGCCCUCCCAAUCUUUCUUCACUGUUUCAAACGGGGGGCUUUCAAUGAGGCCAGGCUUGCAGCUCGCGGCAUUCCUGAAGCGUCCGCUUGACAAGCUCCUGCACGUCUCCUUUCUGCGCCUUGCAGCUUUCUUCAAAGGUAUGUUAUCUUUGAUCUGCAUUGAAUAUCCCUCAAGUUACUUACUGUCCACCAAAAGAAUGUUGUGAAGACAGUGUUUCUGAGAAAGGCAAAUUUGCUUCUACCUAGUGACCCUGUUUCUUCAAAGGUAUUAUCUGGCAGGCUCUCCUCUGUUCCCUCAGUAUUUGGGGCAGAUGCCCAUCUCCAGCAGUUUGCAUUCCUGAUGCUUCAUCUGAAGUCAUACAUACAUUCUAAGUUGCCUUCCAGGAUGUUGUUUUGUAUUACCUCAGCAGGCUAACAUUUCACCUGUCUGCACAAAAGAAAAAGCCAUAGCCGUAUCAAACUAUGAUAGAGAAACUGAUAGUUAGCUGAGGCUCCAGCCAGCUUUCAUACUCAGAAGUCCAGCUUGGGAUGGGCAACUCGAUGGUCGCUGUUCUGCAAAUCAUUGACACGGGCAAUUCUCACUGCCUUAAUAAAGCAGUUUUCAGAUCAGAGUGUGAAGAAACU